rnacentral:tRNA from 1 species
GGUAUUAUAGCUCAGGUGGUAGAGCACAUGCUUAGCAUGCAUGAGGUCCUGGGUUCAAUCCCCAGUACCUCCU